ACNNNNNNNGCUGCUUUACCAUGCAGUCGAACGGUAACAGGUCUAGCUUGCUAGAUGCUGACGAGUGGCGGACGGGUGAGUAACGCGUAGGAAUCUACCUUGUAGUGGGGGAUAACUUGGGGAAACCCAAGCUAAUACCGCAUGAGCCCUAAGGGGGAAAGCAGGGGACCGAAAGGCCCUGUGCUAUGAGAUGAGCCUGCGUCGGAUUAGCUAGUUGGUGGGGUAAAGGCCUACCAAGGCGAGGAUCCGUAGCUGGUCUGAGAGGACGACCAGCCACACUGGGACUGAGACACGGCCCAGACUCCUACGGGAGGCAGCAGUGGGGAAUAUUGGACAAUGGGCGCAAGCCUGAUCCAGCAAUGCCGCGUGUGUGAAGAAGGCCUGCGGGUUGUAAAGCACUUUCAGUGGGGAGGAAGGUCUCAAUGCUAAUAGUAUUGAGAAUUGACGUUACCUACAGAAGAAGCACCGGCUAACUCUGUGCCAGCAGCCGCGGUAAUACAGAGGGUGCGAGCGUUAAUCGGAAUUACUGGGCGUAAAGGGCGCGUAGGUGGUUACUUAAGUCAGAUGUGAAAUCCCUGGGCUUGACCUAGGAAUUGCAUUUGGUACUGAGUGGCUAGAGUAUGGGAGAGGUAAGUGGAAAUUUCCGGUGUAGCGGUGAAAUGCGUAGAUAUCGGAAGGAACACCAGUGGCGAAGGCGACUUACUGGCCCAUUACUGACACUGAGGCGCGAAAGCGUGGGGAGCGAACAGGAUUAAAUACCC
rnacentral:rRNA from 1 species